rnacentral:rRNA from 1 species
UGGGGAAUAUUGCACAAUGGGCACAAGCCUGAUGCAGCCAUGCCGCGUGUGUGAAGAAGGCCUUCGGGUUGUAAAGCACUUUCAGCGAGGAGGAAGGUGGUGAGCUUAAUACGCUCAUCAAUUGACGUUACUCGCAGAAGAAGCACCGGCUAACUCCGUGCCAGCAGCCGCGGUAAUACGGAGGGUGCAAGCGUUAAUCGGAAUUACUGGGCGUAAAGCGCACGCAGGCGGUUUGUUAAGUCAGGUGUGAAAUCCCCGGGCUCAACCUGGAACUGCAUUUGAAACUGGCAAGCUAGAGUCUCGUAGAGGGGGGUAGAAUUCCAGGUGUAGCGGUGAAAUGCGUAGAGAUCUGGAGGAAUACCGGUGGCGAAGGCGGCCCCCUGGACGAAGACUGACGCUCAGGUGCGAAAGCGUGGGGCAGCAAACAGGAUUAGAUACCCUGGUAGUCCACGCUGUAAACGAUGUCGAUUUUGGAGGUUGUGCCCCUUGAGGCGUGGCUUCCGGAGCUAACGCGUUAAAUCGACCGCCUGGGGAGUACGGCCGCAAGGUUAAAACUUAAAUGAAUUGCGGGUCUAGCUGUUCC